rnacentral:rRNA from 1 species
AUGCUUAAAAUAGAUCUUGCAAAGGCUUUUGAUCGUUUGGAGUGGAACUUCAUAGUUUCUGCCUUGACACGAAAAGGGCUGCAUGGUCAUUUCAUUAAUUUGGUUCAUGCCUGUAUCUCGUCACCUACUUUCUUUGUGCUUAUUAAUGGCCAACCCUCUCAAAAAUUUAAGAGCUCCAGAGGUAUUAGACAAUGCUGCCCCAUGUCGCCUUAUUUAUUUGUUUUGGCCAUUAAUGAGCUCUCCAUUAUGAUGAAUGAAGCUUUGAGAGCCAAUCAUUUACAAGGUAUUUCACUUGGACUAAAUUGCCCUUCUAUGCAUUCUUUGCUGUUUGGAAAUGAUCUCCUUGUGUGUGGGCAUGCCACUUGUCAGGAAGCUCAGGCUAUGGCGAACCUCAUUCAUCAUUUCUGUACUAUCUCUGGUCAAACACCUAACUGGAACAAAUCUGCUAUACUUUUCAGUUCCCAUGUUCCCCAACAUGUUAUGGAUGACAUUAAAAUCAUCUUUCCAGGGGCUAGUCUUGAUGAUAGCUUCACUCACCUUGGUCAUCCUCUCAUUCUUCCUGCUAAUAAUAGAGCAGCUGCUUACAAUUUUGUCUUGGACACAUUUUUAAAUAAGUUUCCCUCUUAUAAAGCUAAUAUGCUCUCUCAUGCAGCUAGACUAGAUUUAAUUUGCUUUGUCUUUUUGGCUAUUCCUAUUUAUUAUAUGUCCUAUAUUCUAUUCUCUAAAAAAUUCAUUGCAAAACUUACUGCAGUAAUCAAGAACUUCUGGUGGACAGGUAUUAGAGAAACAGAUUCGAGGAAAAGCCUUUUCUUCAAGCUUGGAAGGACAUUUCCAAUUCCAAAACAGAAGGAGGGUUAG